ACGGGGGUCGGCCUUAUGGAAAAAAAAUGGCUGGAGGCGUCUUGGGUGUCUUUGGUAGAAGGCUCUCCGCGGUCCUGAAAAAGUCCGGGUCCUUAAUAACUUCCAAGGCCCCCGCUGGCACUGGUUGCAGGCUUUCUCUUAGUGUGCUGCUCAAGAGUGUAGUGAAUGUCACUUCUUUGCACCAGCCUAGAUUACUUCAUACCACAUUAUCAACAAGAGGACUUGAAGAAUUUUUUGAUGACCCAAAAAAUUGGGGAGAACAAAAAGUAAAAUCUGGCGCUGCAUGGACCUGUCAACAAUUAAGAAACAAAAGUAAUGAAGAUUUACAUAAACUUUGGUAUGUCCUACUGAAAGAAAGAAACAUGCUUCUAACUCUAGAGCAGGAGGCCAAGCGGCAGAUAUUGCCAAUGCCAAGUCCAGAACGGUUAGAAAAGGUAGUUGAGUCCAUGGAUGCAUUGGAUAAAGUUGUCCAGGAAAGAGAAGAUGCUUUAAGGCUUCUCCAGACUGGUCAAGAAAAAGCUAGACCUGGUGCUUGGAGAAGGGACAUCUUUGGAAGAAUCAUCUGGCACAAGUUCAAGCAGUGGCCUAUACCUUGGUACCUAAAUAAAAGAUACAAUAGGAAACGAUUCUUUGCAAUGCCUUAUGUGGACCGUUUCAUCAGGUGAGUCUAAAUACUCUUUAAAGAGAAACAUCUUUAUAUCAGAUGACAUAUUAAUAUAUUCACCUCAUCACAUACCGUAUAUAUCCUUUUAAAAGUUUUUUUAUGCUUCUAUUCAUCCACCUAUCUCUAUGUAUGUGAAUAGAAUUAAAAUAAUUCAGUUGCAUAAAAUGUGAGCUCAUUUAUUCCAAGGUUAAUGAAAAGGAGCUAAAGAGUGGAGGUCUGUUGCA